CGAACGUUAGCGGCGCGCCUAACACAUGCAAGUCGAGCGAGAAGGAAGCAAUUCCUGUAAAGCGGCGCACGGGUGAGUAACACGUAGGUAAUCUACCUCGAAGUGGUGGAUAACCUUCCGAAAGGAGGGCUAAUACAGCAUGAGACCACGGUUUCGAAAGAGAUUGAGGUCAAAGCGGGCCACUAUACAUAAGCUCGCGCUUCGAGAUGAGCCUGCGGCCCAUCAUGGUAGUUGGUAGGGGUAAUGGCCUACCAAGCCGAAGACGGGUAGCUGGUCUGAGAGGAUGAUCAGCCACACUGGAACUGAGACACGGUCCAGACUCCUACGGGAGGCAGCAGUGGGGAAUCUUGCGCAAUGGGCGAAAGCCUGACGCAGCGACGCCGCGUGAGUGAUGAAGGCCUCGGUUGUAAG
rnacentral:rRNA from 1 species